rnacentral:rRNA from 1 species
UACCCGCAGCACAAGUGGUGGUCAUUAUUAUUGGGCCUAAAGCGUCCGUAGCUGGCUUGUUAGAUGCCUGGGUAAAUCGAUGCGCUCAACGUAUCGAACUCCGGGUAGACCGGCAAGCUUGGGACCGGGAGAGGCGUGAGCUACUCGGGGGGUAGGGGUAAAAUCCUGUAAUCCUCCGGGGAGGACCAGUGGCGAAGGCGGCUUGCCAGAAUGCGCUCGACGGUGAGGGAUGAAAGCUGGGGGAGCAAACCGG